rnacentral:rRNA from 1 species
GACGAACGCUGGCGGCGUGCCUAAUACAUGCAAGUAGAACGCUGAAGGAAGGAGCUUGCUCUUUCCGGAUGAGUUGCGAACGGGUGAGUAACGCGUAGGUAACCUGCCUGGUAGCGGGGGAUAACUAUUGGAAACGAUAGCUAAUACCGCAUAAGAGUAGAUAUCGCAUGAUAGCUGCUUGAAAGGUGCAAUUGCACCACUACCAGAUGGACCUGCGUUGUAUUAGCUAGUUGGUGAGGUAACGGCUCACCAAGGCAACGAUACAUAGCCGACCUGAGAGGGUGAUCGGCCACACUGGGACUGAGACACGGCCCAGACUCCUACGGGAGGCAGCAGUAGGGAAUCUUCGGCAAUGGACGGAAGUCUGACCGAGCAACGCCGCGUGAGUGAAGAAGGUUUUCGGAUCGUAAAGCUCUGUUGUAAGAGAAGAACGAGUGUGAGAGUGGAAAGUUCACACUGUGACGGUAUCUUACCAGAAAGGGACGGCUAACUACGUGCCAGCAGCCGCGGUAAUACGUAGGUCCCGAGCGUUGUCCGGAUUUAUUGGGCGUAAAGCGAGCGCAGGCGGUUAGAUAAGUCUGAAGUUAAAGGCUGUGGCUUAACCAUAGUACGCUUUGGAAACUGUUUAACUUGAGUGCAAGAGGGGAGAGUGGAAUUCCAUGUGUAGCGGUGAAAUGCGUAGAUAUAUGGAGGAACACCGGUGGCGAAAGCGGCUCUCUGGCUUGUAACUGACGCUGAGGCUCGAAAGCGUGGGGAGCAAACAGG